CCUACGGGAGGCAGCAGUGGGGAAUAUUGCACAAUGGGCGCAAGCCUGAUGCAGCGACGCCGCGUGAGGGAUGACGGCCUUCGGGUUGUAAACCUCUUUCAGUAGGGAAGAAGCGAAAGUGACGGUACCUGCAGAAGAAGCGCCGGCUAACUACGUGCCAGCAGCCGCGGUAAUACGUAGGGCGCAAGCGUUAUCCGGAAUUAUUGGGCGUAAAGAGCUCGUAGGCGGUUUGUCGCGUCUGCCGUGAAAGUCCGGGGCUCAACUCCGGAUCUGCGGUGGGUACGGGCAGACUAGAGUGAUGUAGGGGAGACUGGAAUUCCUGGUGUAGCGGUGAAAUGCGCAGAUAUCAGGAGGAACACCGAUGGCGAAGGCAGGUCUCUGGGCAUUAACUGACGCUGAGGAGCGAAAGCAUGGGGAGCGAACAGGAUUAGAUACCCUGGUAGUCCAUGCCGUAAACGUUGGGCACUAGGUGUGGGGGACAUUCCACGUUUUCCGCGCCGUAGCUAACGCAUUAAGUGCCCCGCCGNGGGAGUACGGCGCGAGACGAACUUAAAUAGAGUAGACGCGNGAGACGUGCCGACGACGACGACGAGGGAGGUUAGG
rnacentral:rRNA from 1 species